GUUUUUCAGACGAAGGACCAAAAAACAAAAGCAAUCACUUUUAACGAGAGUACACCCGAAUACGGAGACGACGAGCGUGCAACCUCAGUUGAGAUCGGCAAUACUAUUAGCGAGUAGUCACGAACAUGGAGAUAAUAUGUGAUAACGCUGAUAAACGGACGGACACUGAUGCAAAUAUGCUCUCGGUCGGACCAAAGGAAGUGGAAACUACAACAAUUUAAAUACCUACCUAUUAAUAAUUCAGGCCACAGUUAAUCCCACCAAGCAAGGUUAUAUUUGUUAGAAAAUAAUAAUUAAACAAUAAUUUUAUUUUAUUAUAACAGCUAUUUAAAAAAAAAAUGUUGUAAUCAACUCGUUUUAGACUGAAUAAAUCAAAUAAUAAGUAGGUAGAUGCAUUUUUAAGUAGGUACCUACCUAUUUAAUUAUUUUGAUUUUUCGAUAAAUUCCUAGUUGAUACCUAGUAGUUUUCAUAAGCUGGGUGAAAUAAAGUAAAAACAUAUUGUACACCUAUUAACCCUAUUAACUUAUUAUAUAGGUACUUAACCGUAUAAUUUAUAGACAUUAGAUUGGCAUCCAAAACAUGUCGAUGAAAUACCUACAAGCAACCCUAAUUUUUGUACGACACGUUAUCGAAUUAAUUUUUUCCCAUCUAAUGAUUUAUCAUUGCUCUUAGAUUUAUUGAUUACUGUUAUAACUCGAACAUUUUUUUGUCAGGAUUCAUACUUAAGGUAUUCGAUGUUAUUAUGAUUUGUAAACAAUAUUAUUAAUAUUUUAAGUAGGUGGGUAUUUACGAAUACACACAAGAUACAACAAUCAACAGUGUAACAGACCGUACUUGCCUGUUUAAACAGAUAUUAAUCAUAUUAUUAUGCACGUGUUUAUGCGACGUGAUACUGCGUGUUAAUAAAAAACAAAAGAGACUGACUAUAUUUCAAUAAUAUCAUAAAAAACUAUCAAAGUAAGAUUUUUAAAUUGACAUUAUACCUACGACAUAAUAAUGCGAAAUCGUCGAAGUGCAUUAGAUUAUUUACUAUAAUAUAGUGUACCUAUAUAAGUAGUUAAACAGUAUUAUUUGUACCUAUAUAGGUAUAUAUCAUUUAUAGAUCAUUAUUCAUUGGCAUAUCCGAAGCUCGGUCAUAAGAUGGAAGAAUUAACAUUUAUUAAAUUCUUAGUAUACUUAUACGAUGAGGAAGGAGUGUUGGGAAUCCACGGCACAACUCAGUAGAUAGUUACUUACCAGUCAUGCUAUUUUUUUUUUAACGACAAUAUUCAUUCUUAUUUGAUUUAAUUUUAAUUUUAAUUUAGCAAUGCCUGUUAAUCGCUCUGUCACAACUCACGAUCCGUAAAUAUGUUAUAAUAUAAUAAUAUGUUAUCGUUUAGCCGUAUACGCGCACCAUAAUUUAUAAUAAUAUGAAUAUCUAAGUUUUAUAAAAUAUUAUAUAUACCUAUUUUUUUGUAAAGAUUAUUAAUUAAAUAUUUUAAUCGUUUUUAAAUUUUUUAUCUUUUUGUAAUUUUGUCAACGCAAUAAUUAUACCCACCCAUGAUAAUAUCGAAAUUAAUUUUGAUUUGUAAGCACGUUUCUAUAUAUUUUUUUAAUUGGAGACGUAGGAUUAUAGGAGUAGGUCCCUAUGUUUGCUUCGUCUGAUCCAUAAUUAUAGAUAAUUGAUCUUAUUUAUUUUAUAAAAUUCACAAAGUCAUGUCCAAAGCUCCAUGAACAAGUGGUGUACCAAUAAUAAUCAAAAUGGGAAAGGGGAGUAGAAGACAAAAUUUGUUGAGGAACCAGGAAAAUUUUGAAGUUAUAGGUAAAUCCGAGUAAUUAAAUGUUACUAAAUGUAUAGGUUUAAUUAAAAAUAUUACUGUCUUGUGAUUGUGUGUGAGAUCAAUAUUGAGCGUUUUACUAGCAAAAUAAACAAAUAAAUUAUUUAAUUCACUGUUAUUAUAUUAUACAAUAUAAGGUUAUAAAAUUUUUUUAUAUCUCAA